rnacentral:tRNA from 1 species
UAACAAAUAGCUUAUUAAAGCAUAGUAUUGAAGCUGCUAAGAAGGUUUAUUCCUUUGUUAA